AUUGAACGCUGGCGGCAUGCCUUACACAUGCAAGUCGAACGGCAGCACGGGAGCAAUCCUGGUGGCGAGUGGCGAACGGGUGAGUAAUAUAUCGGAACGUGCCCAGUCGUGGGGAUAACGUAGCGAAAGCUACGCUAAUACCGCAUACGAUCUACGGAUGAAAGCGGGGGAUCUUCGGACCUCGCGCCAUUAGAUGAGCCUAGGUCGGAUUAGCUAGUUGGUGAGGUAAUGGCUCACCAAGGCGACGAUCCGUAACUGGUCUGAGAGGAUGAUCAGUCACACUGGAACUGAGACACGGUCCAGACUCCUACGGGAGGCAGCAGUGGGGAAUAUUGGACAAUGGGCGAAAGCCUGAUCCAGCCAUGCCGCGUGUGUGAAGAAGGCCU
rnacentral:rRNA from 1 species